AGAGUUUGAUCCUGGCUCAGAAUCAACGCUGGCGGCGUGCCUCAGACAUGCAAGUCGAACGCGAAAGGCUCCUUCGGGGGCCGAGUAGAGUGGCGUCCGGGUGAGUAACACGUAGGUAAUCUACCUUCGGGUGGGGAAUAACAGCCGGAAACGGCUGCUAAUACCGCAUAAUGCAGCGGCACCACAUGGUGACAGUUGUUAAAGCGGGGGAUCGCAAGACCUCGCGCCUGAAGAGGAGCCUGCGGCGGAUUAGCUAGUUGGUGGGGUAACGGCCUACCAAGGCAACGAUCCGUAGCCGGCCUGAGAGGGCGGUCGGCCACACUGGCACUGACACACGGGCCAGACUCCUACGGGAGGCAGCAGUCGGGAAUUUUGGGCAAUGGGCGCAAGCCUGACCCAGCAACGCCGCGUGAAGGAUGAAGCUUCUCGGAGUGUAAACUUCAUAAGAAUGGGACGAAUAAACGUGGGCUAACAUCCCAUGUGAUGACGGUACCAUUUGUAAGCUCCGGCUAACUCCGUGCCAGCAGCCGCGGUAAUACGGGGGGAGCAAGCGUUGUUCGGAUUUACUGGGCGUAAAGGGCGCGUAGGCGGCGCAACAAGUCACUUGUGAAAUCUCCGGGCUUAACCCGGAGCGGCCAAGUGAUACUGUCGUGCUAGAGUGCGGAAGGGGCUACUGGAAUUCUCGGUGUAGCGGUGAAAUGCGUAGAUAUCGAGAGGAACACCUGCGGCGAAGGCGGGUAGCUGGGCCGACACUGACGCUGAUGCGCGAAAGCCAGGGGAGCGAACGGGAUUAGAUACCCCGGUAGUCC
rnacentral:rRNA from 1 species